rnacentral:rRNA from 1 species
AGAGUUUGAUCCUGGCUCAGGACGAACGCUGGCGGCGCGCCUAACACAUGCAAGUCGAACGGAGCUUUGAGAGCUUGCUUUUAAAGCUUAGUGGCGAACGGGUGAGUAACGCGUGAGUAACCUGCCCUGGAGUGGGGGACAACAGUUGGAAACGACUGCUAAUACCGCAUAAGCCCACGGCCCGGCAUCGGGCUGAGGGAAAAGGAUUUAUUCGCUUCAGGAUGGACUCGCGUCCAAUUAGCUAGUUGGUGAGGUAACGGCCCACCAAGGCGACGAUUGGUAGCCGGACUGAGAGGUUGAACGGCCACAUUGGGACUGAGACACGGCCCAGACUCCUACGGGAGGCAGCAGUGGGGGAUAUUGCACAAUGGGGGAAACCCUGAUGCAGCGACGCCGCGUGGAGGAAGAAGGUUUUCGGAUUGUAAACUCCUGUCGUUAGGGACGAUAAUGACGGUACCUAACAAGAAAGCACCGGCUAACUACGUGCCAGCAGCCGCGGUAAAACGUAGGGUGCAAGCGUUGUCCGGAAUUACUGGGUGUAAAGGGAGCGUAGACGGAAGAGCAAGUCUGAUGUGAAAGGCUGGGGCUUAACCCCAGGACUGCAUUGGAAACUGUUUUUCUAGAGUGCCGGAGAGGUAAGCGGAAUUCCUAGUGUAGCGGUGAAAUGCGUAGAUAUUAGGAGGAACACCAGUGGCGAAGGCGGCUUACUGGACGGUAACUGACGCUGAGGAGCGAAAGCGUGGGGAGCAAACAGGAUUAGAUACCCUGGUAGUCCACGCCGUAAACGAUGGAUACUAGGUGUGGGAGGUAUUGACCCCUUCCGUGCCGCAGUUAACACAAUAAGUAAUCCACCUGGGGAGUACGACCGCAAGGUUGAAACUCAAAGGAAUUGACGGGGGCCCGCACAAGCAGUGGAGUAUGUGGUUUAAUUCGAAGCAACGCGAAGAACCUUACCAGGUCUUGACAUCCGAUGCAUAGCAUAGAGAUAUGUGAAGUCCUUCGGGACAUCGAGACAGGUGGUGCAUGGUUGUCGUCAGCUCGUGUCGUGAGAUGUUGGGUUAAGUCCCGCAACGAGCGCAACCCUUAUUGCCAGUUACUACGCAAGAGGACUCUGGCGAGACUGCCGUUGACAAAACGGAGGAAGGUGGGGAUGACGUCAAAUCAUCAUGCCCUUUAUGACCUGGGCUACACACGUACUACAAUGGCGUUUAACAAAGAGAAGCAAGACCGCGAGGUGGAGCAAAACUCAAAAACAACGUCUCAGUUCAGAUUGCAGGCUGCAACUCGCCUGCAUGAAGUCGGAAUAGCUAGUAAUCGCGGAUCAGCAUGCCGCGGUGA